UAGGGAAUAUUGGGCAAUGGAGGCAACUCUGACCCAGCCAUGCCGCGUGUAGGAAGAAUGCCUUAUGGGUUGUAAACUACUUUUGAUCGGGAACAAAUGCCAUUUGCGAAUGGAGCUGAGUGUACCGAUAGAAUAAGCACCGGCUAACUCCGUGCCAGCAGCCGCGGUAAUACGGAGGGUGCAAGCGUUGUCCGGAUUUAUUGGGUUUAAAGGGUGCGUAGGCGGUUAAUUAAGUCAGUGGUGAAAUCCUGGAGCUCAACUUCAGAACUGCCAUUGAUACUGGUUGACUUGAGUACAGACGAGGUUGGCGGAAUUGAUGGUGUAGCGGUGAAAUGCAUAGAUACCAUCAAGAACACCGAUUGCGAAGGCAGCUAACUAGGCUGUAACUGACGCUGAGGCACGAAAGUGUGGGGAUCAAACAGGAUUAGAUACCCCUGUAGUCC
rnacentral:rRNA from 1 species